AUCAACUGGAAACUACAAACAAGAGGGUGUUGCUGGCAGAAACGAUUAGUCAGUUAAGUUUUACUUCUGGUGAUACUAGUAUCUGAAUUAAUCGAUUAGGUAAAGUGGGUUGUUUUGCCCAGGCAAGUGCAUUGGUUCCACAUACAGAGCAAAGGGUCAUGUCCAAGAAGAGGAUGGUUUGCUGAGGAGAUGCUCUGAAGAACCUUGGGUACCAGGUCUGUGUAGUGAUGGCACUUCCAGAAUAGCCAGCGGUAGUCUAUAGUUUCAAAACUAUUAAUGUGAUGCUGCUCUACAUACAGAGUGACUGAAGGCAUACUCUGCAGUGGGACUGGAAGCCAGAGCUGAAGAACGACCACUCACAAGAAAUGAGCCUCCUUGUUGCAGCAGGUUAUACACGGUCACUGUUCCUCUUGAUUGCCAUACUCCCAGUUGGCAUCUGUCAUUUAAAUCCCAAAUGGAAUGUCAUUGCUCUGACAACUCUAGGACUCCAAUAUUUGAAACAUUAGUUACACUUUCUUAAAUGCUCUACUAUUUUCUUCACAGCUCCCACAAUACACAGAAAUUCAGGUGUCUAUGUGCUCAA